AACACAUUUAAAAGGUUUAACAUUAAAUGUCCUAGAGAAGUAAAGUAGUUUUCUGUUCACCCUUUGCAAGUAAAAAGGGUAGAUCAUUCCACUACUGACAUGU